rnacentral:lncRNA from 1 species
GUAUUUGAUAUUAGGUGAGUUUGGUCUUACUAAAAUGUGGGUCCCAUCAGAGUUAGUGUGGCCUCAAUAAUUAAUUCCUCUACUACCUUUUGAAGUGGGUUACUAAAUCUUCUCUUAAAUUAGUUCCACAAAUAUCUCUAAUUAAAAUUUCUUCUACUAAUUAAAAUCGGGAUGUUACAAUCUAUCCCCUUAAAAGAAUUUCGUCUGCGAAAUUCAAUAACUUCUUCAUUCAUUACCAAAGUAAAUUGUAUACAUCCUCGUCCAAAUUCUAGACUUCGUUUCCAAACAGUCAUGAUCUAUUGUUCAAGGUCAUUAAUCAUCACUCUUCGUAGCAUUAGCACUUGGUUAUUUUAUUUAUGGAAAUCUUAACUCGUUCAUUUCAUAACAUCGAACUCAUAAUCUCGGCCCAUAAUACAACUUUUUGGUGCACGCUAAUCUUAUAUUAGCUCUUUUUUUUUUUUGUUAUUUUCAUCGAUACAACCGCUCAUGGUGCAAUAUUCCCAUUUUCUGCACCCUUCAAUUCAACACUGAGCAUAUCUAAUCUUAUUGGUUCACUGCGUCAAACCUUCUUAGUUGAACCGCUUUCCUUUCACAAUCUUUGUUCUCACGGGUACUCCAUUACCAACAAUACAAGUUUUAAGUGUGAACGUAUGCAUAAUGUACUCGUCUCACAUUCGUCAAUCGUUUUACGUCAUUCACAUCAAUUUUCUUAGAAUAAAACUUUCCUCUUCUCAAAGGGUUUUGGCCUAAAGACCAAAGUGCUGACUACAUUAUCAACCAAUACUUGCUGCGCACUCUGAUCUCUAUUACAUAUUGUCAUCUUCUGACUGCGUCAUUACGACCUUAGUUUACAACUUCCCAAACACUGUCACAUUUCGUUUCAUCUUAUCCGACGUUUUCUCAUAUUUUUAUUACUUCUUCUACCAUAUGGCAUCACAAAAUAAAUCUCACAUCAUUUCGUGACGUUAGACGCACCACUAUAUAUAUACUACUUUACUACCAUCUAACAUAUCUGUAACUCCUUACUUCUUAUCUCUUAUAGUUAUUUCCUACUCAUACUCUCCUCAUUUUUGAGUUUGAUUGCAUUAAUGUUUCCAACGUUCGAGGUACCUUACGAUGUUGUUUAACAAGUUAACAAGACACGUGAGAACUUAAGCUGAAAUUACUCAUGACCCUUAAUGGUUAACUUAGACUUCUUUGGUUUUGAACUGGUCAUCAGUAAUGAAACGAAAGAUCGGAGAAUCUCUUGAUGGGAAACAUAAUGUUACUGUUUUGAAGAUCGACAUGAAUAACUGAUAGAUCUUAAAGGAUCACAACUUAUUACUCUUAAGAAGAAAUUCAAACUUACCUAGGCCCGAACUGAUUACUGAUAACGAAGUUACAAAGUUGAAGACAUUUCUUCAGAGUUACAUAAGGUAACACUCUAAUUGUGAAUCCAAUUCGCUGAUAUUAAGGAAUUUAGAAAGUUUUCAACAUUAGAUAGGCUCGGAAACUUUAAUGUUCAUAACAUAAUAAGGCUUACUGGUUAUGAAUCAAGCAUCACAUUGAUUCGAUGAAUUUAGCUGAAUUUAAUUGACAACACUCCGAAAACGGUUUAACUUAGUCGUUUGGGUUAUUGGCUGAUAGGUUCGAAUACGGGAAAUUAUUUGGCAACUUACUGAAGGUAGUACCGAAUUGCGUUACUUGUUCCUGAAGCAAAUGGAAAUGACAUUUAAUAUGUCUGCUUAGGUGACUGAUUGCAUCAAAAUUAAACUCUAAUUGUUACUCUAAACAAGACUUAACUGCUACUGGUUUGGCUUGAAUACACUAGUUACGAACUGAGUGGCUGAAUUCAUCUUGCUGGGAACG